AUACGGAGGAUCCGAGCGUUAUCCGGAUUUAUUGGGUUUAAAGGGUGCGCAGGCGGCCAUUUAAGUCAGCGGUUAAAUCGUGGGGCUCAACCCCAUUCUGCCGUUGAUACUGGGUGGCUUGAUUGCGGUCGAGGUUGGCGGAAUUCGUUGUGUAGCGGUGAAAUGCAUAGAUAUGACGAAGAACACCGAUUGCGUAGGCAGCUGACCAGAUCGCAAAUGACGCUCAUGCACGAAAGUGCGGGGAUCGAACAGGAUUAGAUACCCUAGUAGUCCGCACAGUAAACGAUGAAUACUUGUUUUCGGCGAUAUAAUGUCGGAGGCAAAGCGAAAGCGAUAAGUAUUCCACCUGGGGAGUACGCCGGCAACGGUGAAACUCAAAUGAAUUGGCGGGG
rnacentral:rRNA from 1 species